rnacentral:rRNA from 1 species
AGAGUUUGAUCCUGGCUCAGAAUAAACGUUAUUGAUUAGCUUAACACAUGCAAAUUAAAUUUAAUAUUUUACUAUUUUAAACAUUAAUGCACGGGUGAGUAACACAUAAAAAUUAAUCUUAAAUAUUUGUUAAUUACAAAUUUAAAAAAAAUUUAAUUGAUUUAGGAAAAGUUUAUGUAAGAUUAGGUCGUUAAAAAGCAAAAAUUUUUUAAGCUGAUUAUCUUUAGUUGGUCUUUGAGGAUGUCCAACCACAUUGGGAUUGAAAACGGCCCAAACUUUAUUUAAAGGCAGCAGUGAGGAAUUUUGGGCAAUGAGUGUAAGCUUGACCCAGCUAAAUCAAAUUUAAAAAAAAGUUAAACUUUAAAUUAAUAUUGUAUUAAAAUAGUGAUUUAAUACAAAUAAGUCCUGGCUAACUUCGUGCCAGCAGCCGCGGUAAAACGAAGAGGGCUAGCGUUAUUCAAAAUAAUUGGGCGUAAAGGAUACGUAGGUGGAAAAUUAAGUUUCAAAUUAAAUUUAGUAUUUUAUUUAGUAAUUAUAUUGUUAAACUAAUUUUCUAGAGUUUAAAAAGAAAAUAUAGAAUUUGAAAUGGAGUAGUAAAAUGUAUUGAUAUUUCAAAGAAUUCCGAAAACGAAAGUAAUGUUUUAUUUUAAAACUGACACUGAGGUAUUAAAGCUUGGGUAGCAAAAGGGAUUAGAUACCCCUGUAGUCCAUGCUGUGAACGAUGAGUGUACUUUUAACAAUAAAACACUCCGCCUGGGAAUUACGAUCGCAAGAUUAAAACUCAAAGGAAUUGACGGGGACUUACACAAGCAGUGGAGCAUGUGGUUUAAAUCGAAAAUACGCGCGAAAUCUUACCAAUUUUUGUAAAAAAUUCAGGUGUUGCAUGGCUGUCGUCAGUCCGUGCUGUGAAGUGUUUGGUUUAUUCCAAUAAACGGACGAAACUUUUAUAAAUUUUUUAAUUUAAACUGUUAAAGAUAUUUUAAAGGAAGGAAAAAAUAACGUCAAGUCCUCAUGACCCUAAUAAAUUGGGCUACUUUCAUGUGCUACAAUAAUUUUUUCAAUAAGAAACUAAGUUGUAAAAUUUCGUAAAUCUUAAACAAAAAUUAUAGUCAGAUUAUUUUCUGAAAUUCGAAAAUAUUAAGUUGAAAUUGCUAGUAAUCGUAAAUUAGAAUGUUACGGUGAAUUCGUUCUUUAGUCUUGUACACACCGCCCGUCACGCUAUGGAAAUCUAUUUUAUUUUAAAUUUUACUCAAAAUAAAAAGAAAACUAAAGUGAAGUCGUAACAAGGUAGCCGUAGGGGAACCUGUGGCUGGAAAAUUAAAUUAAGUCUCUACUAUC